rnacentral:rRNA from 1 species
AACGCUAGCUACAGGCUUAACACAUGCAAGUCGAGGGGCAGCAUGAACUUAGCUUGCUAAGUUUGAUGGCGACCGGCGCACGGGUGAGUAACACGUAUCCAACCUUCCGUUUACUCAGGGAUAGCCUUUCGAAAGAAAGAUUAAUACCUGAUAGUAUGGUGAGAUUGCAUGAUAGCACCAUUAAAGAUUUAUUGGUAAACGAUGGGGAUGCGUUCCAUUAGGUAGUAGGCGGGGUAACGGCCCACCUAGCCGACGAUGGAUAGGGGUUCUGAGAGGAAGGUCCCCCACAUUGGAACUGAGACACGGUCCAAACUCCUACGGGAGGCAGCAGUGAGGAAUAUUGGUCAAUGGGCGAGAGCCUGAACCAGCCAAGUAGCGUGAAGGAUGAAGGUCCUACGGAUUGUAAACUUCUUUUAUACGGGAAUAAAGUUUCCUACGUGUAGGAUUUUGUAUGUACCGUAUGAAUAAGCAUCGGCUAACUCCGUGCCAGCAGCCGCGGUAAUACGGAGGAUGCGAGCGUUAUCCGGAUUUAUUGGGUUUAAAGGGAGCGCAGACGGGAGAUUAAGUCAGUUGUGAAAGUUUGCGGCUCAACCGUAAAAUUGCAGUUGAUACUGGUUUCCUUGAGUGCAGUUGAGGCAGGCGGAAUUCGUGGUGUAGCGGUGAAAUGCUUAGAUAUCACGAAGAACUCCGAUUG